GUCUAGCCGUAAACAUAAGUAGUCACAAACAAGACUAUUCACCAGAGAACUACGAGCCACAGCCUAAAACUCAAAGGACUUGGCGGGGCUUCAUACCCCCCUAGAGGAGCCUGUUCUAUAAUCGAUAUACCACGAUACACCUCACCAAUUCUUGUUAAUUCAGUCUAUAUACCGCCAUCUUCAGCAAACCCUGAUUAAGGAACAAAAGUAAGCAUAAUCAUCUUUACAUAAAAACGUUAGGUCAAGGUGUAACUUAUGAAUUGGGAAGCAAUGGGCUACUUUCUUUAACUAAAAGAAUAACGAAAGUUUCUAUGAAACUAGAAACCAAAGGAGGAUUUAGUAGUAAGCUAAGAUUAGAAAGCUUAACUGAA
rnacentral:rRNA from 1 species